UACAGAGGGGGCAAGCGUUGUUCGGAAUUACUGGGCGUAAAGGGCGCGUAGGCGGCCUGUUAAGUCGAACGUGAAAUCCCCGGGCUCAACCCGGGAACUGCGUCCGAUACUGGCAGGCUUGAAUCCGGGAGAGGUGAGUGGAAUUCCGAGUGUAGAGGUGAAAUUCGUAGAUAUUCGGAAGAACACCAGUGGCGAAGGCGGCUCACUGGACCGGCAUUGACGCUGAUGUGCGAAAGCGUGGGGAGCAAACAGG
rnacentral:rRNA from 1 species